GACGAACGCUGGCGGCGUGCUUAACACAUGCAAGUCGAACGGAAAGGCCCUGCUUUUGUGGGGUGCUCGAGUGGCGAACGGGUGAGUAACACGUGAGUAACCUGCACUUGACUUUGGGAUAACUUCAGGAAACUGGGGCUAAUACCGGAUAGGAGCUCCUGCUGCAUGGUGGGGGUUGGAAAGUUUCGGCGGUUGGGGAUGGACUCGCGGCUUAUCAGCUUGUUGGUGAGGUAGUGGCUUACCAAGGCUUUGACGGGUAGCCGGCCUGAGAGGGUGACCGGGCACAUUGGGACUGAGAUACGCACCAGACUCCUACGGGAGGCAGCAGUGGGGAAUAUUGCACAAUGGGCGGAAGCCUGAUGCAGCAACGCCGCGUGCGUGAUGACGGCCUUCGGGUUGUAAACCGCUUUCGCCGGUGACGAAGCGUGAGUGACGGUAAUGGGUAAAGAAGCACCGGCUAACUACGUG
rnacentral:rRNA from 1 species